GAUGAAGAACGUAGCGAAAUGCGAAAAGUAGUGUGAAUUGCAGAAUUCAGUGAACCAUCGAAUCUUUGAACGCACAUUGCGCCCGGCAGUAAUCUGCCGGGCAUGCCUGUCCGAGCGUCAUUUCUACCCUCGAGCGAGUCCAGCAUCUAGGUGCUGGGCCUCGCCCGGCGUUGGAGCACUACGGGAAGCCCUGUGCUGUCCCCCGUAGGCCCCGAAAUGAAGUGGCGGUCCUGCCGCGGCGCCCCCUGCGUAGUAUAACAGCUCGCUUCGGGACCCGGUGGAGGCCUGCCGUCAAACCUAUACUCUCUAAGUUUGACCUCGGAUCAGGUAGGGUUACCCGCUGAACUUAAGCAUAUCAAUAAGCGGAGGA
rnacentral:misc_RNA from 1 species